GGUGGCUCAGUGGUAGAGCUCUUGCCCUGCAUGCAGGAGGCCCUGGGUUCGAUUCCUCAGCACCA
rfam:Dipodomys ordii contig_69626, whole genome shotgun sequence.